rnacentral:rRNA from 1 species
GACGAACGCUGGCGGCGUGCUUAACACAUGCAAGUCGAACGGAAAGGCCCUGCUUUUGUGGGGUGCUCGAGUGGCGAACGGGUGAGUAACACGUGAGUAACCUGCCCUCGACUUUGGGAUAACUUCAGGAAACUGGGGCUAAUACCGGAUAGGAGCUCCUGCUGCAUGGUGGGGGUUGGAAAGUUUCGGCGGUUGGGGAUGGACUCGCGGCUUAUCAGCUUGUUGGUGGGGUAGUGGCUUACCAAGGCUUUGACGGGUAGCCGGCCUGAGAGGGUGACCGGCCACAUUGGGACUGAGAUACGGCCCAGACUCCUACGGGAGGCAGCAGUGGGGAAUAUUGCACAGUGGGCGGAAGCCUGAUGCAGCAACGCCGCGUGCGGGAUGACGGCCUUCGGGUUGUAAACCGCUUUCGCCUGUGACGAAGCGUGAGUGACGGUAAUGGGUAAAGAAGCACCGGCUAACUACGUG